ensembl:snoRNA
AUUAAUGUAGUAAGAGCAGGAUUCAUUUUAAAUAAAAGGGACAUUCUUCCUAGCCAUAGAAGAGCCUAUUUCUGUUUAUUGGCAAAGCUGCUAUCAUUUAAUUGGUAUCAGAUUCUUACUUGCACAAAUAACAUUC